rnacentral:rRNA from 1 species
AGGAUUAACGCUGGCGGCGUGCCUAACACAUGCAAGUCGAACGAGGUAGCAAUACCUAGUGGCAGACGGGUGAGUAACGCGUGGUCAACCUACCGUUGAGUGGGGGAUAACUAGCCGAAAGGUUAGCUAAUACCGCAUACGUCUCCGAGGGGCAUCCCUUGGCGAUAAAAGGAGCAAUCCGCUCGAUGACGGGACCGCGUCCCAUUAGCUAGAUGGUGGGGUAACGGCCUACCAUGGCACCGAUGGGUAGCUGGUUUGAGAGAGCGACCAGCCACACUGGGACUGAGAAACGGCCCAGACUCCUACGGGAGGCAGCAGUGAGGAAUUUUCCGCAAUGGGCGCAAGCCUGACGGAGCGACGCCGCGUGUGGGAAGAAGGCCUUCGGGUCGUAAACCACUGUCGAAGGGGACGAGUAAUGACGGUACCCUUGGAGGAAGCCCCGGCUAACUACGCGCCAGCAGCCGC